UACGAAGGGGGCUAGCGUUGUUCGGAAUCACUGGGCGUAAAGGGCGCGUAGGCGGCCGAUCAAGUCGGGGGUGAAAGCCUGUGGCUCAACCACAGAAUUGCCUUCGAUACUGUUUGGCUUGAGACCGGAAGAGGUUAGUGGAACUGCGAGUGUAGAGGUGAAAUUCGUAGAUAUUCGCAAGAACACCAGUGGCGAAGGCGGCUUACUGGUCCGGUUC
rnacentral:rRNA from 1 species